UACGUAGGGUCAGAGCGUUGUCCGGAAUUACUGGGCGUAAAGAGCUCGUAGGUGGUUUGUCGCGUUGUCCGUGAAAACUCACAGCUUAACUGUGGGCGUGCGGGCGAUACGGGCAGACUGGAGUACUGCAGGGGAGACUGGAAUUCCUGGUGUAGCGGUGGAAUGCGCAGAUAUCAGGAGGAACACCGGUGGCGAAGGCGGGUCUCUGGGCAGUAACUGACGCUGAGGAGCGAAAGCGUGGGGAGCGAACAGG
rnacentral:rRNA from 1 species